CAAUAGCGUAUAUUUAAGUUGUUGCAGUUAAAAAGCUCGUAGUUGGAUUUCUGGUGGGAGCGAUCGGUCUGGCGCUUAGCGCGAGUACUUGCAUCGUCUCCGGCCAUCCUUGGGGAAAGUCUGUCUGGCAUUAAGUUGUCGGGCAGAGGAUCCUCAUCGUUUACUGUGAAAAAAUUAGAGUGUUCAAAGCAGGCUUAUGCCGUUGAAUAUAUUAGCAUGGAAUAAUAAGAUAGGACUUUGGUACUAUUUUGUUGGUUUGCGCACCAAAGUAAUGAUUAAUAGGGACAGUUGGGGGUAUUCGUAUUCCGUUGUCAGAGGUGAGAUUCUUGGAUUUACGGAAGACGAACUACUGCGAAAGCAUUUACCAAGGAUGUUUUCAUUAA
rnacentral:rRNA from 1 species